UAUGUUUUUGUUAAAUGGUGAGUCAGACCAAUAUCUCGCAGAAACACUUGUGCUAAAUCAAGGAACAUUAAUUACAAGGUUAAAGUUGAUGGGGCAAAGACUUAAGCUUUUAACUAGUACAAACCUCAUUGAGACCUUCUGCAGUCUUAACUGAUACAUGGCUUGCUCCAUUAGGUCCCAUAUUAUGGUACCUUGCCAUUUCAACAUGGUCAGUAUCUCCAUUUUCUGUGUCAAAGAAAGCAUGAGGUGUUUGUAGUAAGUAGAUCACAUUUUGAGACGACAUCAAGCCACAGAUGAUUAGGAAACCUCUCCAUAAAUUCUCAAGAUAUCUCAAAUUGCAAGAUCUAAUGCCACAUAUCAUAG
rnacentral:lncRNA from 1 species